CCUACGGGAGGCAGCAGUGGGGAAUCUUGCGCAAUGGGCGAAAGCCUGACGCAGCAACGCCGCGUGCGGGAAGAAGGCUUUCGGGCUGUAAACCGCUUUCAGCAGGAACGAAAAUGACGGUACCUGCAGAAGAAGGAGCGGCCAACUAUGUGCCAGCAGCCGCGGUGAUACAUAGGCUUCAAGCGUUGUCCGGAUUUAUUGGCCGUAAAGAGUUCGUAGGCGGUCGAGUAAGUCGGGUGUGAAAAUUCUGGGCUCAACCCAGAGACGCCACCCGAUACUGCUUAACUUGAGUUCGAUAGGGGAGUGGGGAAUUCCUAGUGUAGCGGUGAAAUGCGCAGAUAUUAGGAGGAACACCGGUGGCGAAGGCGCCACUCUGGAUCGAUACUGACGCUGAGGAACGAAAGCAUGGGUAGCAAACAGGAUUAGAUACCCUGGUAGUCCAUGCCGUAAACGGUGGGCACUAGGUGUGGGAUUCUAUUAACGAAUUCCGCGCCGUCGCUAACGCAUUAAGUGCCCCGCCUGGGGAGUACGGUCGCAAGACUAAAACUUAAAUGAAUUGACGG
rnacentral:rRNA from 1 species